rnacentral:lncRNA from 1 species
AAGCAAAAAGUAUUGCUCUUUGCAUUAAACCUCCAUAAUUUUGAAGUUCAAUGUUGGAAAAAGGGGAUUUCAAAAUAUGCAUACAUUAAAAAUGAUUGCUAUAUAUGUCUCCCUCUCUAUUUAUACAAAUAAAAAUGCAAUCAUCGUAGUCUUUGCUGUAAGUUUGGCUCUUUAUUCAUAUACUAUUUCAAUGGGAAAAAGUAGAAUUUAAGCCCGAAGUGUCCUUUAAUUUAAAGAUGGAUUAGUGGACAAUGCAAUACUUGGUAUCUUGUAUUUCCAUUUUUUGGGUAAUAAGAUUAAAAGUCCAAAAGUAACAUAAUGAACUGAGGCUGCUACAUAUUGAUUAUAUAUCACUGCGAGGCAUGAUGGAUCCAAUUUUCCUGCUGUGAAGCACAAUGUUUUAAUCUUUCACAAAGGUUUGUUCUUUGUGCAUGAUAGAUUAUUACAUUAAUAGUCUUCUGUAUUAUGUCCACUAUGAGACUUGGGUGUUUUGCAAUGUUGUAUUACUUCCAAACAAAUAUAUAGACCUUUCAAAAGACCUGCAUCACAUCACCAAUGAUAAAUCUUUGUCAUUCAGCUUGAAUUUUCCAAUUCUAUUAUUCAUUUUUCUUAUAUUAAUGAUUCUAACAAAAUAACAAGUAUAUAUUGAACUAAAAG